rnacentral:rRNA from 1 species
CGAAACCAGGUGAUCUACCCAUGUCCAGGAUGAAGGUAAGGUAAUACUUACUGGAGGUCCGAACCCACGCACGUUGAAAAGUGCGGGGAUGAGGUGUGGGUAGCGGAGAAAUUCCAAUCGAACUUGGAGAUAGCUGGUUCUCUCCGAAAUAGCUUUAGGGCUAGCCUCGAGGUAAAGAGUCAUGGAGGUAGAGCACUGUUUGGACUAGGGGCCCUUCUCGGGUUACCGAAUUCAGAUAAACUCCGAAUGCCAUGUACUUAUACUCGGGAGUCAGACUGCGAGUGAUAAGAUCCGUAGUCGAAAGGGAAACAGCCCAGACCACCAGUUAAGGUCCCCAAAUAUAUGUUAAGUGGAAAAGGAUGUGGGGUUGCUUAGACAACCAGGAUGUUGGCUUAGAAGCAGCCACCAUUGAAAGAGUGCGUAAUAGCUCACUGGUCGAGUGACCCCGCGCCGAAAAUGUACCGGGGCUAAACAUAUUACCGAAACUGUGGAUGAACCUCUUUAGAGGUUCGUGGUAGGAGAGCGUUCUAAGGGCGGUGAAGUCAGACCGGAAGGACUGGUGGAGCGCUUAGAAGUGAGAAUGCCGGUAUGAGUAGCGAAAGAAGGGUGAGAAUCCCUUCCACCGAAUAUCUAAGGUUUCCUGAGGAAGGCUCGUCCGCUCAGGGUUAGUCGGGACCUAAGCCGAGGCCGAUAGGCGUAGGCGAUGGACAACAGGUAGAGAUUCCUGUACCAGUGCUAAUUGUUUAACCGAUGGGGUGACACAGAAGGAUAGGGAAUCGCACGAAUGGAAAUGUGCGUCCAA